GAUGAACGCUGGCGGCGUGCCUAAUACAUGCAAGUCGAGCGAACGGACGAGAAGCUUGCUUCUCUGAUGUUAGCGGCGGACGGGUGAGUAACACGUGGAUAACCUACCUAUAAGACUGGGAUAACUUCGGGAAACCGGAGCUAAUACCGGAUGAUAUUUUGAACCGCAUGGUUCAAAAGUGAAAGACGGUCUUGCUGUCACUUAUAGAUGGAUCCGCGCUGCAUUAGCUAGUUGGUAAGGUAACGGCUUACCAAGGCAACGAUGCAUAGCCGACCGGAGAGGGUGAUCGGACACACUGGAACUGAGACACGGUCCAGACUCCUACGGGAGGCAGAAGUAGGGAAUAUUGGACAAAGGGCGAAAGCCUGAGGGAGCAACGCCGCGUGUGUGAAGAAGGUCUUCGGAUCGUAAAGCUCUGUAAGUGGGGAGGAAGAGAAGUAAGUGAAUAUCUGCCCGUUUUGACGGUACCAAAAGAAAAAGCAACGGCUAACUUCGUG
rnacentral:rRNA from 1 species